UGGAUGCAGAGAAUUGGAUUAGAUAAGUCCAGUUUGUCCAGGAUUUUAAAUUUGUCCGGUGGGAUUUGGAAAGGAAAGCGGUGCCAUGGAUUUAUAAGAAGCAUCGUUGGGGAGGUUCGUGUAUGUCGGGAUAUUUUCAUUAUACCACUACUAUUAUAAAAAGGUCGAAUUUGAGGGUCACCAUUUUGACCUUUUGCCGGGCCGGCAGCGCCACACCCAGAAUUCAGGAGGGCGAGGGGGCAUUCCGAUAUGGAAACGGCAUCAAAACAUUAUAUGUUUUUAAUGUUUUUAGGUGCCAAAAACAUCGUUUUCCGUUGCGCUGAGUCGGGAGGUAGA
rnacentral:sRNA from 1 species